UCCCCAGUAGCUCAGCGGUAGAGCGGGCGGCUGUUAACCGCUAGGUCGCAGGUUCGAAUCCUGCCUGGGGAGCCA
rnacentral:tRNA from 2 species